AGUCACUGAAACAGGCAGAUGGGAUUAUACCGCUUGACUUUGGAUACUCGGCGCUCACCAUCAGAACAGUGAUGAGGGCCCACCUGCCCCGUGCUAUGGCAGGGCUCCCGUAGGAGGGACUGGUAGGUUAGUGAGAACCUAAUCAUGUCCUCUACAAUAGUGUGUGGGUUAAUCACACCAACACUUACAAACUGAACUUUGCAGGGCAAGUUAGGGAACGCCAGGGCAGAGCUUAAUGAAAACAUCCCAUGUCAAACACGCCCAUAUUACGCAUGGAUUUGAGGUAUUUUCAUUCACAUGCUGAUGUGAAAGUCUUCCUUCUACUCUGAUUUAUAAACUGAAGGAUGAACCUGGGUUUAAAAGACCCAUACUGGGAUGGGGAUGGGGGUCUCCACCUCUCCUCAGAGGUGGAGGUCUUGCCUAGCAUGCACCAGGCCCUGGGUUUCAUCCUCAGCAUCCAAUACACACGUACAACAAACGACUCUAACCGAAGUUGGGGCUCUGGCUUCCCUUUCCUCGGAGCUGGGGAGGAAACCCAGGCCUUGUGCGUGUUAAGCGUGUGCUCUGCUGCUGGGCUCCUCACCCUCAGAGGGUGCCCCAUGCCAUCAGUGCGCGGACACUGAAAGCCACAGCACACGUGGGCCUCGCUUUUGCUCUAGGUAGGAGCAGGGCCUGGCCAUGGGGUCCCUGAUGCCCCCUCCCUGUCCUGUUAUGUAGAAACGGAGUGAUCACACUGCCUUGGACCCUUGUGAGCCAGGUACGUGCAGAUGCCCGGGCAGGACUGCAGCACCUGGGCCUUACCUCACAGUCUCUACUGGGCUUAGGUGGAGACCCGGGCUGGGUUGUCAGGGGUGAAAUCACCAUGCGAGGGGUGGAGGCUCAGCCUGUGCAACAGGUCGGAAGGAAAUGCGGGUUUGAGCAGGGCCGAUAAAAACGAAGAGGAGAAAAGGGAACUGGAAUAAGAGAGCAAGGCAUCAGGCGUGGGGGCCUCGCGCGUCACCGGCAUCGGAACAGAGAAGAGGGAGCUGGAUGACGAAACCAGCAGGCCCCGUGCAUGCCGGAGAAGGGCGAUUUCCUCAGGGGCCCUGCGCUGAGGAAGGACGUGCGAAGCAGGCCUGCGCCGCUCUGCAGCUGGCUCCCCGGGGGCGGCCUUUAAAGAAGGAAGUAAGAACUGCAGGGGUUAAAGAAUCAUUACUUGCCUUCAGUUGAGACAAUUAAGCCGGAAUGAACUGAACAGCACCGUUGAAAGCUUCACGUGGAACCUCCCGAACUCUUACUUGAAAUCCUGUGAGACAUUGAUCUUGGUGCUUACAGCUUUGUUUGGCACGGUCUCCUGGGAGCGAUAGCGGCUCGGGAAGAGAGAGUCGGGCAUCCGCGGCUGAUGCAAACUUGCUUCUCCCGGGAUCGCUGCCUCCUCUGCCUCCCUCAGCUCUGCCCCUGCCCGCCCUCACUGGCCUGCACCUCACCGCUCAGAGCUCCCCCUCGCCUCCCUGCUUCCGGUCUGGCCUGGCGGAGAGCCCUCCUCUGAAGAAGGGCUCCUCACCUAGAAUGCGCAGAUCUCUAAGAGGCUCAUGGAUAGAAUCCAGGCAGUCUGUGACUGUGGAUGGAAAACAUUUAACAAAAAGCAAGAUCCUUGGCCGGAAAUGUAGCUUCAUGGCAGAGCGCCUGCUUAGCAUGCGUGAGGCCCUGUGUUUGAACCUCAGCGCAGUAAAACAAAAAACAAGCCUCUACUAAAUAAUACUGGGGCUUUGCCACUGACAGUAAUUUAUUUUCAUUCGCUGUUCCAAUUUUCUUGAAAUACUGUUUACACGUAUCACUACUUUGAAAUUAGAGUAGUUACUGGACCCUCCAUUAAAAUUUUGUCAUUUAAUGUAGUAAUAAAAAAGCACGUUUAGCAUCCCACAGAUUUGACCUUGGUAUUUUAAUAACUGCUGUGAUAUAGUGGGGUUAUUUUGGAAUCCUAGGCUUUUGUUUUAUGCAUUUAAAAGCAUUUUUUUCCUGGCAAGGGACCCUUGGUCUUUACCAAGCUCCAAAGCCUAAACAACUCCCCACGCUGAGGAUGCAAGAUACUCUUCAGCUUGGCCAGGACCUGGCUUCCUCUCCAGCUAUCAUUGCAGCCAUUUCUCUGUGAGCUCAACAGUAACUGAGCUUAAAUAUCCAUGUGUUUCUUUUCCUGUGUCUUCUAAAUGCUUUCUCUGUCUUGGAACAUUUUGUCCCGACUUGUCAUUUGGGAAAACUCCUUCUCUGCCUAAGUGUCUCUGAUAAUUUCUCAGUGUUCAUACCAUGACUUACCACACUGUAUCACACUGACUAGCUCCUUAAGGGACAAUAGGGGUCUUUAUCAUCUCCCACCCACUCUGGUUAGCAAAUGAGGGAAAUCGCAUUUUUAAGGUAGUAAUUGGGUAUUUUUCAUAUUAAUAUACAAAUACUAAAGGGAUAG